CCCUCAGCAGCCUCCACUGAUUGAUACUUGUGAUUUUUCUGUGCAGUUUAGCUAAAAAUAAAACUUUUUUUGUGUGUCUCUUUGCUUUUGUGUUCAUGCAGGUCUUUGCCACUGGUUAUGGGUGACAGAGGACACCAGCAACAGCAAAGACACUUGUUCACCAUGAGCUGUCCGUUUCCAAUGGAUUGUGCCGCGGCUGCUGUUUCAAGUUUCAGCACCACAAUCAUUGUCCCAGCCAUAUCCGCAGCAGCAGGAAGAAUUAAG